UACAGAGGGGGCAAGCGUUGUUCGGAAUUACUGGGCGUAAAGGGCGCGUAGGCGGCCUGCUAAGUCGAACGUGAAAUCCCCGGGCUUAACCCGGGAACUGCGUCCGAUACUGGUUGGCUUGAAUUCGGGAGAGGGAUGCGGAAUUCCAGGUGUAGCGGUGAAAUGCGUAGAUAUCUGGAGGAAUACCGGUGGCGAAGGCGGCAUCCUGGACCGACAUUGACGCUGAUGAGCGAAAGCUAGGGGAGCAAACGGG
rnacentral:rRNA from 1 species